AGAGAGAGAGAGAGAGAGAGAGAGAGAGAGAGAGAGAGAGAGAAUAGACAGGGGAGAGACAGGGAAGCGUGUGGGCGAAGGUCUCUGCUCACAACACAAUAAUCAUGUAAACGCUUUAAAGAAAUCACAACUUAGGCCUGACUCUCGUUGCGUCCAGGCACCUGGCCGGGUAUGUUCACCUGG